GGGGCUGUAGCUCAGUGGUAGAGCGCUCGCCUCGCACAUGUGAGGCCCUGGGUUCGAUCCUCAGCACCA
rnacentral:tRNA from 1 species